rnacentral:rRNA from 1 species
CGGACGGGUGAGUAACGCGUGGAAAACCUGCCGUAUACUGGGGGAUAACACUUAGAAAUAGGUGCUAAUACCGCAUAAGCGCACAGCUUCGCAUGAAGCGGUGUGAAAAACUCUGGUGGUAUACGAUGGUUCCGCGUCUGAUUAGCUAGUUGGCGGGGUAACGGCCCACCAAGGCGACGAUCAGUAGCCGGACUGAGAGGUUGACCGGCCACAUUGGGACUGAGACACGGCCCAGACUCCUACGGAAGGCAGCAG